rnacentral:rRNA from 1 species
CCUACGGGAGGCAGCAGUGAGGAAUAUUGGUCAAUGGGCUUACGCCUGAACCAGCCAAGUCGCGUGAGGGAAGACUGCCCUAUGGGUUGUAAACCUCUUUUGUCAGGGAGCAACGCCGGCUACGUGUAGCCGGACUGAGAGUACCUGAAGAAAAAGCAUCGGCAAACUCCGUGCCAGCAGCCGCGGUACUACGGAGGAUUCGAGCGUUAUCCGGAUUUAUUGGGUUUAAAGGGUGCGUAGGCGGAAUGCCAAGUCAGCGGUAAAAUCGCGGGGCUCAACCUCGCUCCGCCGUUGAAACUGGCGGUCUUGAGUGGGCGAGAAGUAUGCGGAAUGCGUGGUGGAGCGGUUAAAUGCAUAGAUAUCACGAAGAACUCCGAUUGCGAAGGCAGCAUACCGGCGCCCAACUGACGCUGAAGCACGAAAGCGUGGGUAUCGAACAGGAUUAGAUACCCGAGUAGUC